rfam:Gossypium hirsutum cultivar TM-1 chromosome 22, whole genome shotgun sequence
UGUUAAAAAUUUCAUCCAUUUAUACUGUUAAAAACUAGCAUGGCUAAUAGAAUAACCAAACAGUGACACAUGGUGUGCCAUGUGUACCUCCUGCUAACAUAUAAGGAUCAAUUUUUUUAAAGUAGAAAUAGAUGGAAUUUUUAAUA